UCUUAUUGAACCUACCCUAACACGAGCCUCAAGUUUCCAAUUCAUGAACUACCUGUUGCAAAUGUCAUUCCCAGGAAAACCUUCCAUGCUGUUCUGAUUCCUCAUGGACCACCCCCACCUCCAACCUGGUGCUUUCUCUUUAUUUCUUCAAUUUGAAGAAGAAUACCAUUUUUGCUUGACAGAUGACGGACACAAAAUUUGAUUACACAGACUUGAGUACUUAGCAGAUACUUUCUCAAAAAUGAACAACAUGCAACUGUCAUUUCAAGGAAAACAACUGACAACAUUUACUGUUAGUGACAAAAUAGAAGCUUUCAACCAAAUAUCAGAAUUUAGGACAACUGAAUUAACCACUGUGAAUCUGACAGCUUCCUAAUAGUCAAUGACUUUUCUGUUGAGACUGAAGCUAAGAAAGCGAGCCGACAGAUACCUACUGAAUCGACUUGAGGUAACAUAUCAAAGUAUUUAACAUAACAAUUUUAUUUAAGUUUUAGAAUUAGAUUGCAACAGACUAAGUCCAUUCCAGAAAAUUCAAGAC